UCCGUACGUGUACGGGGUUGACGGUACCGUACGAAUAAGGAUCGGCUAACUCCGUGCCAGCAGCCGCGGUAAUACGGAGGAUCCGAGCGUUAUCCGGAUUUAUUGGGUUUAAAGGGUGCGUAGGCGGCGUUGUAAGUCAGUGGUGAAAGUUUGCAGCUUAACUGUAAAAUUGCCAUUGAUACUGGAGUGCUUGAGUAUAGUUGAGGUGGGCGGAAUGUGUCAUGUAGCGGUGAAAUGCAUAGAUAUGACACAGAACACCGAUUGCGAAGGCAGCUCACUAAACUAUAACUGACGCUGAUGCACGAAAGCGUGGGGAUCAAACAGGAUUAGAUACCCUGGUAGUCCACGCCGUAAACGAUGAUAACUCGAUGUUGGCGAUACACAGUUAGCGGCUAACGAAAAGCGUUAAGUUAUCCCCCUGGGGGAGUACGCCCGCAAGGUUGAAACUUCAAAG
rnacentral:rRNA from 1 species